rnacentral:tRNA from 1 species
GUCAUAGUGGUUAAUUCAUUGGACUUAGAGUUCAGAAGUCUGGGUUCAAAUCCCAUCUCUGACA